GACGAACGCUGGCGGCGUGCUUAACACAUGCAAGUCGAACGGAAAGGCCCUGCUUGCAGGGUACUCGAGUGGCGAACGGGUGAGUAACACGUUGGUGAUCUGCCCUGCACUUCGGGAUAAGCCUGGGAAACUGGGUCUAAUACCGGAUAGGAGCCAUUUUUAGUGUGAUGGUUGGAAAGUUUUUUCGGUGUAGGAUGAGCUCGCGGCCUAUCAGCUUGUUGGUGGGGUAAUGGCCUACCAAGGCGGCGACGGGUAGCCGGCCUGAGAGGGUGGACGGCCACAUUGGGACUGAGAUACGGCCCAGACUCCUACGGGAGGCAGCAGUGGGGAAUAUUGCACAAUGGGCGCAAGCCUGAGGCAGCGACGCCGCGUGGGGGAUGACGGCCUUCGGGUUGUAAACUCCUUUCGCUAGGGACGAAGCUUUUUGUGACGGUACCUAGAUAAGAAGCACCGGCUAACUACGUG
rnacentral:rRNA from 1 species